UAAUAUUUGCUUUUUAUAGGUGGCCGGCAUUGCCGGUCUGGGAAACAGGUGCAAGUCCUGUACGGUACCGCCGCUGUAAUUACGGAGUAUCGGUCCAAUAAAGCCACUGGAGUUUUCCGGGAAGGCGGGCCGGAUGCGUCGAUGUAAAAGUCAGAAGACAGGCCUAUGAAACGACAUAAUA
rnacentral:ncRNA from 2 species